UACGUAGGGUGCAAGCGUUGUCCGGAAUUAUUGGGCGUAAAGAGCUCGUAGGCGGUUUGUCGCGUCGGGAGUGAAAACCUACAGCUUAACUGUGGGCUUGCUUUCGAUACGGGCAGACUUGAGGCAUGCAGGGGAGAACGGAAUUCCUGGUGUAGCGGUGAAAUGCGCAGAUAUCAGGAGGAACACCGGUGGCGAAGGCGGUUCUCUGGGCAUGUUCUGACGCUGAGGAGCGAAAGUGUGGGGAGCGAACAGG
rnacentral:rRNA from 1 species